UCUAAAUAACAUAAAACCAGAUAUAAAAGCAUAUGAAAUCAUAUCAUAACAAACAAGCAUCUGAUACCAAUUGAAGGAAAAGUAGGGCAGUUCUAUGCAUGUAAUUUUAAAACUUUCGCAGUAGAUCUGUUAGAUUAAACAAUUUAACCUACAUUACAUGCAUAAGAUCUAAUCUAAACUACCAUACCAAGAUCUAUGAUACAAUUUAAUAUGACAUAAAGAUCUGAAAAUAAAAAUUAGUAUUGAUCAUAUUGAUGCUCUACAUU
rnacentral:lncRNA from 1 species